GAUGAACGCUGGCGGCGUGCCUAAUACAUGCAAGUCGAGCGAACGGACGAGAAGCUUGCUUUUCUGAUGUUAGCGGCGGACGGGUGAGUGACACGUGGAUAACCUACCUAUAAGACUGGGAUAACUUCGGGAAACCGGAGCUAAUACCGGAUAAUAUUUUGAACCGCAUGGUUCAAAAGUGAAAGACGGUCUUGCUGUCACUUAUAGAUGGAUCCGCGCUGCAUUAGCUAGUUGGUAAGGUAACGGCUUACCAAGGCAACGAUGCAUAGCCGACCUGAGAGGGUGAUCGGCCACACUGGAACUGAGACACGGUCCAGACUCCUACGGGAGGCAGCAGUAGGGAAUCUUCCGCAAUGGGCGAAAGCCUGACGGAGCAACGCCGCGUGAGUGAUGAAGGUCUUCGGAUCGUAAAACUCUGUUAUUAGGGAAGAACAUAUGUGUAAGUAACUGUGCACAUCUUGACGGUACCUAAUCAGAAAGCCACGGCUAACUACGUGCCAGCAGCCGCGGUAAUACGUAGGUGGCAAGCGUUAUCCGGAAUUAUUGGGCGUAAAGCGCGCGUAGGCGGUUUUUUAAGUCUGAUGUGAAAGCCCACGGCUCAACCGUGGAGGGUCAUUGGAAACUGGAAAACUUGAGUGCAGAAGAGGAAAGUGGAAUUCCAUGUGUAGCGGUGAGAUGCGCAGAGAUGUGGAGGAACACCAGUGGCGAAGGCGACUUUCUGGUCUGUAACUGACGCUGAUGUGCGAAAGCGUGGGGAUCAAACAGGAUUAGAUACCCUGGUAGUCCACGCCGUAAACGAUGAGUGCUAAGUGUUAGGGGGUUUCCGCCCCUUAGUGCUGCAGCUAACGCAUUAAGCACUCCGCCUGGGGAGUACGACCGCAAGGUUGAAACUCAGAGGAAUUGACGGGGGCCCGCACAAGCGGUGGAGCAUGUGGUUUAAUUCGAAGCAACGCGAAGAACCUUACCAAAUCUUGACAUCCUUUGACAACUCUAGAGAUAGAGCCUUCCCCUUCGGGGGACAAAGUGACAGGUGGUGCAUGGUUGUCGUCAGCUCGUGUCGUGAGAUGUUGGGUUAAGUCCCGCAACGAGCGCAACCCUUAAGCUUAGUUGCCAUCAUUAAGUUGGGCCCUCUAAGUUGACUGCCGGUGACAAACCGGAGGAAGGUGGGGAUGACGUCAAAUCAUCAUGCCCCUUAUGAUUUGAGCUACACACGUGCUACAAUGGACAAUACAAAGGGCAGCGAAACCGCGAGGUCAAGCAAAUCCCAUAAAGUUGUUCUCAGUUCGGAUUGUAGUCUGCAACUCGACUACAUGAAGCUGGAAUCGCUAGUAAUCGUAGAUCAGCAUGCUACGGUGAAUACGUUCCCGGGUCU
rnacentral:rRNA from 1 species